GACGAACGCUGGCGGCGUGCUUAACACAUGCAAGUCGAACGGUGAUGCUCCAGCUUGCUGGAGUGGAUCAGUGGCGAACGGGUGAGUAACACGUGAGCAACCUGCCCCAGACUCUGGAAUAAGCGCUGGAAACGGCGUCUAAUACUGGAUACGAAACUGGCCCGCAUGGGCAUGGUUUGGAAAGUUUUUCGGUUUGGGAUGGGCUCGCGGCCUAUCAGCUUGUUGGUGAGGUAAUGGCUCACCAAGGCGACGACGGGUAGCCGGCCUGAGAGGGCGACCGGCCACACUGGGACUGAGACACGGCCCAGACUCCUACGGGAGGCAGCAGUGGGGAAUAUUGCAUAAUGGGCGAAAGCCUGAUGCAGCGACGCCGCGUGAGGGAUGACGGCCUUCGGGUUGUAAACCUCUUUCAGCAGGGAAGAAGCGAAAGUGACGGUACCUGCAGAAGAAGCACCGGCUAACUACGUG
rnacentral:rRNA from 1 species